rnacentral:rRNA from 1 species
GGAUUCCCCUAGUAACGGCGAGUGAAGCGGGAAGAGCUCAAAUUUAAAAUCUGGCAGUGUAUUCUGUCCGAGUUGUAGUCUAGAGAAGCAUCAUCCGUGCUGGACCAUGUACAAGUCUCUUGGAACAGAGCGUACAUAGAGGGUGAGAAUCCCGUCCUUGACAUGGACUCCCAGUACUUUGUGUUGUGCUCUCAACGAGUCGAGUUGUUUGGGAAUGCAGCUCAAAAUGGGUGGUAAAUUCCAUCUAAAGCUAA